rnacentral:rRNA from 1 species
GUGCCAGCAGCCGCGGUAAUACGUAGGUCCCGAGCGUUGUCCGGAUUUAUUGGGCGUAAAGCGAGCGCAGGUGGUUUAAUAAGUCUGAUGUAAAAGGCAGUGGCUCAACCAUUGUGUGCAUUGGAAACUGUAAGACUUGAGUACAGGAGAGGAAGGUGGAAUUCCACGUGUAGCGGUGAAAUGCGUAGAUAUGUGGAGGAACACCGGUGGCGAAGGCGGCCUUCUGGCCUGUGUCUGACGCUGAGGCACGAAAGCGUGGGUAGCAAACAGGAUUAGAUACCCUGGUAGUCCACGCCGUAAACGAUGAGUACUAAGUGUUGGGGGAAACCUCGGUGCUGAAGUUAACGCAUUAAGUACUCCGCCUGGGAAGUACGGUCGCAAGACUGAAACUCAAAGGAAUUGACGGGGACCCGCACAAGCAGCGGAGCAUGUGGUUUAAUUCGAAGCAACGCGAAGAACCUUACCUGGACUUGACAUCCUUCUGACCGGUAAGUAACGUUACCAUUCCCUUCGGGGACAGAAGAGACAGGUGGUGCAUGGUUGUCGUCAGCUCGUGUCGUGAGAUGUUGGGUUAAGUCCCGCAACGAGCGCAACCCUUGUCUUUAGUUGCCAUCAGGUAAAGCUGGGCACUCUAGAGAGACCGCCGGGGAUAACUCGGAGGAAGGUGGGGAUGACGUCAAAUCAUCAUGCCCCUUAUGUUCAGGGCUACACACGUGCUACAAUGGCCGAUACAAAGGGCAGCAAGAGGGUAACCUUAAGCAAAUCUCAUAAAGUCGGUCUCAGUUCGGAUUGUGGGCUGAAACUCGCCCACAUGAAGUUGGAGUUGCUAGUAAUCGCGAAUCAGAAUGUCGCGGUGAAUGCGUUCCCGGGUCUUGUACACACCGCCCGUCACACCAUGGGAGUUGGAAGCACCCGAAGCCAGCUAUCUAACCGAAAGGGAGAAGUUGUCGAAGGUGAAGCCGAUGACUGGGGUGAAGUCGUAACAAGGUAACC